AGUAGGUAAAGUAGGGCGCUUAGG
rnacentral:siRNA from 1 species